UACGGAAGGCAGCAGUGGGGAAUAUUGCACAAUGGGCGCAAGCCUGAUGCAGCCAUGCCGCGUGUAUGAAGAAGGCCUUCGGGUUGUAAAGUACUUUCAGUCGUGAGGAAGGUGUUAAGGUUAAUAACCUUAGCAAUUGACGUUAGCGACAGAAGAAGCACCGGCUAACUCCGUGCCAGCAGCCGCGGUAAUACGGAGGGUGCGAGCGUUAAUCGGAAUUACUGGGCAUAAAGGGCACGCAGGCGGUUAAUAAGUUGGAUGUGAAAUCCCCGGGCUUAACCUGGGAAUGGCAUUCAAGACUGGUUAGCUAGAGUCUUGUAGAGGGGGUAGAAUUCCAUGUGUAGCGGUGAAAUGCGUAGAGAUGUGGAGGAAUACCGGUGGCGAAGGCGGCCCCUGGGACAAAGACUGACGCUCAUGUGCGAAAGCGUGGGGAGCGAAACAGGGAUUAGGAUACC
rnacentral:rRNA from 1 species